rnacentral:lncRNA from 1 species
UAAAUGCUCUUAUAUUUGUUUACGGAGGGAGUAGAUGUGAUUAUAGUUCCUUAGCCAGAAGACAUUUGGACUACAGAAGAAGGUAAACAUCAGUAAUGCAGGGGUUCUCUACUCGCCCACUGUCAAUUAUAUGUUACAGCCAAGUUGCUUGUUGCUCACCUGAACAUCAUGAAUUAGAAGAAUGUUCUCAAGGACAGUGAAUCUGAUUUCUAAAAGCACCCCAAAUAACUCUCGUCUGGGUUAGAAACCAUACUACAUGAACCUAGCAGCAAACUGGAUUAACCUCAUUGUUGGCCGAUGAUGUAUCAUGGAUGAGGAGAUUCUGAUCAAGAAAGACAGCAAUAGAGACCCUGUCAGAGGCCAGACUUAUCAUGUUUAUUUUCUUCAAC